UGGGAUAAGUUAAAGGCGAAUUCGAGGCGCGGGAUCUGACCAUGGCAAAAUAUUUUCAGAAGGUGAGAGAUCUCGUGGCACAUCUCAAGUAUUUCGAGAUCUCCCACAUUUUCAGAUCGGAGAAUGCUCGGAUCGAUGCACUCUCCAGACUCGCAACGUCCGCCUAUAGCACCCUGUGCCGGACACUCAUGGAGAGCCUCGAGCAACCGAGCAUCGACAGGGCCGAGGAGGCACUGCAACUGACGACCGAGCC
rnacentral:lncRNA from 1 species